UUAAAUUGAAGAGUUUGAUCAUGGCUCAGAUUGAACGCUGGCGGCAGGCCUAACACAUGCAAGUCGAGCGGAAACGAGUUAUCUGAACCUUCGGGGGACGAUAACGGCGUCGAGCGGCGGACGGGGGAGGAACGCCUAGGAAAUUGCCC
rnacentral:rRNA from 1 species